rnacentral:rRNA from 1 species
UACGGAGGAGGCAAGCGUUAUCCGGAAUUAUUGGGCGUAAAGCGUCCGUAGGUGGUCAUUCAAGUCUGCUGUCAAAGCAUGGAGCUUAACUCCAUAGAGGCAGUGGAAACUGAAUAGCUAGAGUUAGGUAGGGGUAGCUGGAAUUCCCAGUGUAGCGGUGAAAUGCGUAGAGAUUGGGAAGAACAUCGGUGGCGAAAGCGCGCUACUGGGCCGAAACUGACACUGAGAGACGAAAGCUAGGGGAGCGAAAGGG